rnacentral:rRNA from 1 species
AAUAGAUACCCAGGUAGUCCACGCCGUAAACGAUGAGUGCUAAGUGUUAGAGGGUUUCCGCCCUUUAGUGCUGCAGCUAACGCAUUAAGCACUCCGCCUGGGGGGUACGCCGCAAGGCUGAAACUCAAAGGAAUUGACGGGGGCCCGCACAAGCGGUGGAGCAUGUGGUUUAAUUCGAAGCAACGCGAAGAACCUUACCAGGUCUUGACAUCCUCUGCCAACCCUAGAGAUAGGGCGUUCCCCUUCGGGGGACAGAGUGACAGGUGGUGCAUGGUUGUCGUCAGCUCGUGUCGUGAGAUGUUGGGUUAAGUCCCGCAAUGAGCGCAACCCUUGAUCUUAGUUGCCAGCAUUUAGUUGGGCACUCUAAGGUGACUGCUGGUGACAAACCGGAGGAAGGUGGGGAUGACGUCAAAUCAUCAUGCCCCUUAUGACCUGGGCUACACACGUGCUACAAUGGAUGGUACAAAGAGCUGCGAACCCGCGAGGGUAAGCGAAUCUCAUAAAGCCAUUCUCAGUUCGGAUUGUAGG